UGCUUCCACAUGUAAUGUAGCAUGAUCAGACAUAAACCUUGAUCAAAACUUUGAUCAUGAUCAAACGUGAUCAAACCUUAUGGAAUAAAUUGUUGACCCAUGAAGAGUGCAUAUUUUCCGGGAUUUGUGAUAUCACAAAGAUCGACGAAUGGGACGAGACCUGGUUGAGCUGCAAUAGAGAAGGCAACGAGUGUAAUCACUUUUCAAAAACUACAACGAACAGCUCGACAUUUCCUGACCAGGCGCCGAGUGCUGUCAAACACAACACACAUUGGCCCAGCUAACCAGUCACAACACAGACUGGCACAGAUGGCAAUGCCACUGAAACCAGGACUCCCGAUGAGCCCAGAUUGGAAAAACCCUGGAAAAGCUAGCUUCUCAGGAAAACCAGAAUGAUGCCAUCUCUGCAUACUGCAAAAACCUUGAGCACAGAAUGCUGAACUUGCCCCAACAUGUACUGCUGCAUUUCCAGCACGAGGUGGACAACUGCAUUUUUAAGUAUUUGGUGGGCCAGAGCCAGACCCUAGA
ensembl:lncRNA